AUGGGGUUUGGAGGAAAUAGUGGGUAUUUUGCUCCUAUCAGUGCACCUUUAUUCUCUCGUCCUCAUACUUACAAUCCUGUCACUGGUCAAUACAUUAAUAUGACAACAACUGCUCAAGGAGUUUCUCCUGUGUAUCAAGCAGUAGGGAACUUGUAUGAUAUGCAGAGAAAUCAAUAUGCAACUCAGCUAGGUGGUCCUUCUUAUUUUGCUAAGGCAGUGUUAAAAGGACCCAGGUUGGAAAUCCCUUUAUUCAGUGGAGAUGAUCCUAUAGGCUGGUUAAUUGCUUGUGAAAAGUUCUUUGACAUGUCUGGAACACCAUAUGAGCAGUGGGUAAAUCUAGCAACAUGUCAUUUGCAAGGAAGAGCAUCCAAUUGGUUGAAAAACAUCUGUGUGCCAUGCCAAAUGGUCACCUGGCAACAAUUUUGUCAGAUGUUAGCUGAUAGAUUUUCAGAAGCAAGUGUGCAUGAAGCUGUGGAAUUACUGAAAAACAUACAGCAAACUAAUAUAGUGGCACAAUAUAUUGACAACUUUGAACAGUGUGUGGCUUUGGUUAAAAGAGACCAUCCUUGUCUACAAGAAAAUUUCCUGCUAAGUUGUUUCAUUGGGGGGUUGAGAAGUGAUAUUAAACAUGGGGUGUGUGGACAAAAGCCUACUGGUAUUAUAGAAGCAUAUUGGUAUGCUAAGGUUUAUGAAAAAGCUGCAGCAGCAAGAAAAGUACAAAACACACCAGUAUAUAAGUCCAGGCCAUACCAAAACCCUCAUAGAAACUCUGGCAAUCCUAUGCAAGUGCAAAUUCCUUCCCAAGAGAAAUACAAUGUGCCAUUUCCUAAAGAUGCAAGGGCUUGUUGGUAUUGCAGAGAACCAUGGUCCAGGCAACACAAAUGUAAAAUUGGGAAGACAAUCCACAUCUUGCAAGAAAUAGAGGAUGAGGAAGAUAGUGACAAUACUGAGGACAAUGCUAGCCAAGAACAAGUGUAUCAUACAGCUCCAAAUACUCCGGACAAAGAGAAACAAAGUGAAGGGACUGUAGAGAAACAUGCACAAGCUAUGCAUAUUACAGUGCAUGCAGUAGAAGGAACUCCUGGUGCAAACACCUUCUCCUUGAUCAUAGAAAUUGCAGGCAAAAGGGCUACAAUUUUGUUUGAUAGUGGCUCUUCAGACACAUUCAUUAGCACUGAAUUUGCUAUUAGCAGCAAUUGCCACCAGCAAGCAAUGCAACCAAGGAAAGUGACAGUUGCUGGGGGAGGAAAACUAAUAGCAAAAUCCAAAGUUCCAGAUAUGAAUUUUAGCAUUCAAGGUCACACUUUCUGCAGCAGUUUCAAGGUGUUGGAUUUACAGGCCUAUGAUAUAAUCCUGGGGGCUGAUUGGAUAUAUCAGUACGGUCCUAUUUGCUUGGAUUUGGUGGAAAGAAUCUUAAUUGUCACAAAACAAGGACAACCAGUGACACUCUUUGACCACUCCAUCCCCAAAAAGAAGUGUAUUGUGUCUGCAAUGAGGAUGGAAAAACUUCUAAAGAAAGGAGUAAUGGGAUAUAUACUGCAAAUUCAAGAGAUGCAAACUGAAAAUAAUACAAAAACCCCUUCAGCACCAGCAGCUCUCAAACCUCUAUUACAGAAAUAUGCAGAGAUAUUUCAAGAGUCAGAGAAGCUUCCUCCACAAAGAAAAUGUGACCACAAGAUUGUGUUGCAAGAAGGAGCAAAACCUCCUAAUUUGAGGCCCUAUAGAGUACCACACUAA
rnacentral:rRNA from 1 species